UUCCUCAUGGGAUUAACCGCCGCCGGCCUUGCUGUCCCCGCGAGGGCUUCCUCGCCGGCGGAGAGGACCGCCGCCGCGUGCCGUUGGUGGCCUCGGGUGCUACCACGCCACGCGAGGUCUGUGGUCUAGGGCACGGCCGCCACGCCUAUGCGACAGUUCCGCCGGGAGGCGUCGCCGCGGAAACGGCCGAGGCGCGGGUGGCCAUAGGCUUACAUCGCUGCUCUGCCGGAGGUCUCUGCGCCGCAGGACUUGCUGUGUUGCCGCCGCUGCCACCGCGCGCAGACACGCCGGAGAGCGACGCUGUUGCGUCAUCGGCCGACAGUAGUAUGCCGCCACCCGCGCGCCUAGGCGGCCACGCCUCCGAGGAGCCCGGCCGGGAGCCAUGGCCAUAGGCACCACCGUCCUGGGAGCAGCGUCGAGGCCGCGCCGCUGGUCGGUAGCACCGCCCUCGCGGUGAGCGCCUCCGUCUCACGCCGAGAAAGAAGUCCAUGGCUGCACCAUGGGCGUCGCCACUGUUGCGGGCUGGGCACCGCUCUCACGACCUCCAGCCAGAGCCUCUGCGCGAUGGAGACCUGGCCGGGAGGGAUGUGUUGUGCCACAACCAAGAAGAUGUUGCUGUUCUUCUGGCUGUUGCUUGCCUGAAGACAAAUGCCAAAGGCCAAUCAAUCGAGACGAAGUAGUGCCCAUCGUCGGCGCCGCUGCUGGGAGAUCGGGACCGUUUCGCCGGCCGAAGGCGGGCACCGCCGCGCUAUGCCGAGACCCGAGAGUCACGGCCGAUGGCUGGGAGCGCGCGUGUCCCCUUGCGCUGUUCAGCGCCGGGUCCGGGCUCACCACGCCGCCGCUUGGGGCCGGUCUGAAGUUCGGCAGUUCGUCGGGGCUGCCUCCGCCUUGUCCUAUUGCUCUCUGUAAGAGCGUGCUGAUAACGUGUUGAAAACGAGAGACAAUCGAUAGUAAUGAAUCCAGUUAUCCUUUCA